GGGCUGUGGCUGUGGCGUGACUCACGCCCGCUGCAGUAAGGCGUUGGCGCGCACCAGUAGGCGAGUAGCAGCAGCAGAAACUCCUCAGUGGGCGCGUUCCUCCGUCACGUUGCAGACGCAGCCGCAGCCGCCGCCAUGUCGCACCAGGUGACCAUCACGAGGACCACGACCACGACGACCACGUCGGCCAUCCUCAUCAACACUGGGUACAUGCGCUCCUGGAGCGGCCUGCUCAAGCUGUGCCAGACGAUUCUGGGUGCUGUCUGCCUGGGGAUUGUUGCCUAUUAUGCAGACCAAGUUGGUGUUGUAUAUACAAGGAAUGCACAGUUCUUCUUCAUACUGAUGACGACAACUUUUCUAAUAGCAACAUUCUGUCUACUCCUAGCAUGCGUUCUCUCCCUAAGCGCAGGGACUGUUAUCUCCAAAACACUCUAUGAACUGAUUUAUCACUCAAUAGCUUUUAUAUUAUAUCUUGCUGCUUCUCUGAGACUCAUUAUUCAAAUAAGUGAUCACAAAAGAUCUUAUAGUUAUGAUGGACACAUGGCAGCAUCGGUGAUUGGCCUUGUAAAUACAGCACUAUAUUUGCUCAGUGCUGUGUUCUCCUACAGAUCUUACAGGCUGCCAUAAACAAGAAAGGAUUUAACUCGUCCAUGCCAUUAUCAACACAUCAUCAGCAGCAGCUUAAAAAUGAUUUAUAUAUAUGUUUAUGGGUAUAUUUUGUUUACUUUCAGAAAAUCCUGUCUUCUGAAAAUGUUUAUAUGAAAAUCUGAUAGACUCUUAUUUUAAAAAUAAAUGGACUAUUUUAGAAUAUUUAAUACUGAUCUGAACAUUACUUAAUAUCUCCAAUUUAAAUGUUACAUAUCAUAAUUAUUUUUUAUGCUGCUUUUUAACAUGAACUCUGAACACAAAUGUGAUUUUCGUUACUUUCUAAACAUUAUCUUUGAGAAAAAUUUCAGCUUCAUUCUGUAACUUCUUAAAAUAUAUCUCUUCUGACAUCUGUGCUAGUCAGAUUGGAUAACCAGUGUACAGACUAUAUUGCAAAGUGAACUUGAUGCCAUGAAGGUAUAAAGCUUUGCAGUUAAAAGAUCUAUGUGAAUUAAUUAAUUCACUGGGGUAAAAAGAGCAUGGGAACUUCCAUCAUGGCAAAAAAAUUGUGGAUUGUUAAUGUAGUGAUGGUUUCAAUUUUCAGAUGUAUCUUUGACUUACAGUGGAAAUAUUAUUAGUAAAGUACAAUAUUAUCAUGCUUGUAAUAUUUUUAAAGACUCAGAUACCACCUACUACUUGUGUUGAUUAAAUUUCUGUGUUGAGAUAGACAUUUUAUUAAGUUAUUCAUAGUGUGUAGUUAAAUAACAAAUGUUAGUAAAUGUGUGUGUGUGUGUGUGUGUGUGUGUGUGUGUGUGAGAGAGAGAGAGAGAGAGAGAGAGAGAGAGAGAGAGAGAGAAAAUUAAUAGUAGACUGGUAUGAUUCAUGCAUUUACUGUUGUGACUGUAUUGUGAAUUGAGACUCCUAAUGACAUCAGUGAAAGAAGGCUAGUUAUAUCAUUGUGUAAGGUAUCUUUCAUCUCAUUUUGCACAACUAUUUUGUCAUAAACUUAUAGGGCUUAUUAUGUCUAAUAACUUAUUCAUUAACUAUGUAUAUUUAUUGGAAUAAACGUUUGUAGAAAAAUU